GGCAGAAGGGGAGAGAGAUGUGCAUGGGAUGAAGGCUCCAAGGCUGCAGCUCCCUGCAGGCUGGGCCAGCAUCCCCGCACCGUGCCCAUGGCCCCAGCAGGGUGUCCGGGGUGAUGGAGGGAUGCCACAGGUCCAUCACUUCAACAGGAGUCCACAGCAGCUGCCGGCAGGCUGAAAGCACUCAUGCUUGCUGUACUGCAAGACAUCAUUAGUCACUUCAUGUCUGCAUCAUACAACUACUGAUUGAAAAAAGGGUAUCUUUUUUCAGUACAACUUUUCUCAGUUGCUCUUUACUGGAUGCAAAUCACAGGCGAGUGAGCUAGUUACCUAACAGCCUAUUGAUCUCCUUCAGUGCAGAAUUCAGACAUGUCCCCUGGAUUUACAAAUGUAUCCUUAUCUCACCUUUCUAGAACUGGCAGAAUCCCUGCCUAGAAAGAGGCUAAAUGACACAACCAAGGUUACUUUGAAAAUCUAAAUUGGAUCCAGCUUUUCAAUUCUGGGCCUUGACCACAAAACCAUCUUCACCAUUUUCGACAAGCACAAGGCUGGUUAGCUGAAGAUGACUGCCAGAGGCCUGGCCUUAUGGCUACUCCUUUCCUGGGGGACUGGCAGCUCACAGAUCUGGGAUGUUCCUGGCAAUGCUGAGAAGGGCAAAUGAUGCCUUUUUAAAAGGAUACUGUCUAAUUAUGUCAGAGAGGAUGUGGCUGGAGAAAUGUACUUCAAAGGUCACAAAGGUCUGUGAUGUCUUCUUGUUGCUGUGGGAGGGCUCACCACCCUCAGACUCCAUCUCAUCUUCAGGAAGUGUUGCCCCAGACAUGAUGGAUGUAAUGCCUGGUUAGUAGGCUUGGAUCAGGAUCCAGUGGUAGGCCAGUACAGAAAGUGGCUGAGAGAGGAAUGAGAAGUAAGCCAUGCUGGUGAGCAGAAUGACUGCAGGGCACAGUAACAGCUGGACUGUCUGGGCAGGCACAGGCUUCAUUCCUACCAAGGCAUUUUGGGCAAUGGGCAGUGAAGGCUUGGAUAACAGAAAUCGAAGGAAUGGCAAAAUUGCAGACAACUUUUCUGUGAGCAUAUGGAAGUCUGGUGAAGAAUCUAAACAAUCAUCAUAAAUCACAGUUUGACCUGACCACUGGGGCUCUUCAGCCAGAGGAAGCUGCAUUGCAACUGUAGCCUUCUCAGACAUUUCCCUUCACACAUUGGCAUCAUUCCUUUACCUUAUUUUAGCUUUAUUUCUGCCUCUGGUUCCUCUGAAAGUGCUACGCCAUCCUCACGUUCUUGGUGUGAUCAGAGAGGAUGAAAAAUAUAGGUGUCUUAUUUGCAUAUUGCUGACAGUGGCUUUUAGAAACCUGACUAAACAACUUGCUUUGAUAUUCUGUUGUUACAUUCCACAGCUAACUUGUACACUGCCCUUUAUCCCUUUGAAAUGUACUGAUGUUUCAUUUUCAAGCUCUCUUAUUUGAAUUUCAUGGAGUUGGGUAAAGCUGACUGGUCUCUAUGGCAAUUAUUAUUUAAUACCUUUCUCCCAUUUGUUGUUCCUUCUUUCUACCCUAAACACACCUGGACUGGGUGAUGAUUCAUGGUACAGAGGCCAAAUGGACCCAUGUGACAAAUAAAUUUUGCUCACUUGCUUAGAACCUUUCCCGUGCCUGUCUCUUUCAGGAGAAGGUGUCCAUAAUUUAAGUUGCAUUUGAGAGGAGAUCACCCUACAACUUUUAUAGUGGCAUUUAUCAUUUAGAACCAGGGAGAGGAGUUAUUUGGAGGAGUCCAGACAGCACAAUAGAGUUCUGAUACUUGCUGAGGUCACCAUGAAUUGAAGGAGUUUGGUAGUGCAUUUGAGAACUCAAACUGAAGAGAUGUCCUCCAAGCAGCACUGCAGCCCAUGGGCCAGAAACUGUUCUGCUGUGACACUGAAAAGCAAUGCAGAUGUGGGUUUCACUGAGCAUCCAGCAGAGAGCCUCAGCUCAGUAAGAGGAUUAUACAUCUCCUCCUUCUAGAAUAAACCUCUUUGCAGAGAAGAUACUUCUCAAGCCCUCUUUGGAGAUCAGGCUUCUAAGAUCAAGACUCCUAAGAUUCAAGCCAUCACAGCAGCCAGUAGGAAACGAACCCCAGUUAAAAGGGAAAGGCUUUUACAGCUCUGCAGGACUACAGGGCUUUGACAUAGGGAACAUGCUGCUAUGGCAAAAGGAUCCUUGUUUGGUUCACAGCUAUUGGAGACAGAAAAAAUAAGGAGGCACAAGUACAAGGCAGAGUUCAAGCUCUAUCCAAGAUGACAGGAGACUGUUGCUGGAGACUUUGAAGGACACAAACCCUCCUGCUAGAACAGCUUCACCACCAGGGAAAAACAACCAGGAAACUAAAGAGGGAACCUCUUGCAACUUCAACCAUUGACAAAGGAUGUCUGAAAACAGUACCCAAGCAUGCAAUGGAUACACUGUUCAAAGAGAGAAAGCAAAUCAAAAAGAUUUAAGACAUGGUUGUAUGUUUUACUACAUUUAGCCCAAAGAUACAAAGGACCUUUAGAAUGAUCGUAACAUCCAAAUCAGGCUUAAUCACUACUACAUUCCCAUAACUUUGGAAACAUCAACCAGCAAUUAACUUGUGCAAGUUACUCUGUUUACAAAACACCUAUGUAUUAAA